GUGGGGAAUCUUAGACAAUGGGCGCAAGCCUGAUCUAGCCAUGCCGCGUGAGCGAUGAAGGCCUUAGGGUUGUAAAGCUCUUUCGUGGGGGAAGAUAAUGACUGUACCCCAAGAAGAAGCCCCGGCUAACUCCGUGCCAGCAGCCGCGGUAAUACGGAGGGGGCUAGCGUUGUUCGGAAUUACUGGGCGUAAAGCGCACGUAGGCGGACUGGAAAGUCAGGGGUGAAAUCCCGGGGCUCAACCCCGGAACUGCCUUUGAAACUCCCAGUCUUGAGUUCGAGAGAGGUGAGUGGAAUUCCGAGUGUAGAGGUGAAAUUCGUAGAUAUACGGAGGAACACCAGUGGCGAAGGCGGCCUGCUGGACAUUAACUGACGCUGAGGCGCGAAAGCGUGGGGAGCAAACAGGAUUAGAAACCCCAGUAGUCC
rnacentral:rRNA from 1 species